rnacentral:rRNA from 1 species
UACGGUGGGGGCAAGCGUUGUUCGGAAUUACUGGGCGUAAAGGGUUCGUAGGUGGCCAACUAAGUCAAACGUGAAAUCCCUCAGCUUAACUGGGGAACUGCGUCUGAUACUGGUUGGCUUGAGUGCAGGAGAGGAACGCGGAAUUCCAGGUGUAGCGGUGAAAUGCGUAGAUAUCUGGAGGAACACCGGUGGCGAAGGCGGCGUUCUGGACUGCAACUGACACUGAUGAACGAAAGCCAGGGGAGCAAACGGG